rnacentral:rRNA from 1 species
CCUACGGGGGGCAGCAGUGGGGAAUAUUGGGCAAUGGGCGCAAGCCUGACCCAGCAACGCCGCGUGAAGGAAGAAGGCUUUCGGGUUGUAAACUUCUUUUGUCAGGGAAGAGUAGAAGACGGUACCUGACGAUUAAGCCACGGCUAACUACGUGCCAGCAGCCGCGGUAAUACGUAGGUGGCAAGCGUUGUCCGGAUUUACUGGGUGUAAAGGGCGUGUAGCCGGGUUGACAAGUCAGAUGUGAAAUCCUGCGGCUUAACCGCAGAACUGCAUUUGAAACUGUUGAUCUUGAGUACUGGAGAGGCAGAUGGAAUUCCUAGUGUAGCAGUGAAAUGCGUAGAUAUUAGGAGGAACACCAGUGGCGAAGGCGGUCUGCUGGACAGCAACUGACGGUGAGGCGCGAAGGCGUGGGGAGCAAACAGGAUUAGAUACCCCUGUAGUC